CUCCAGUUUCACCUGCGUCAUUAAAGUACUAAUUACAACACUUGAAGAAGUAAAAGUAGCGUAAUACUUACGAGAUCCUAUUUGAAUUAAUUUCCCAUAAAGAGUAGUACUAAAAACUGUUUUUGAUAAUGACACAUUGAAAACGUCUCUUCCUGUACACUUACGAACAGGACCCGAAUGGAGGGAAUACUGGCAUGGUCUGAGCGGCCUCCAAAAUCGUCCCAAAUUAUGACGUUGGGACGGACAAAUAAACAUCAUCUUAAGACCCCGUUUACACUAGAGCGAAAGAUUCCGGAUUCAUCACAAAACCGAAACGUUUUGGCAUCGGAUUCAUACAUGCGUUUACACAUACAGCGACGAAUCCGGUGGAAAAUCAUCUCGGUUGCAGGACGUAUCCGAAAACUUUGAAUCCGG